GCCCCCUGGUGGUGCCAUGUGGUACAAAGCUUCUGCUAACCCACAGAAGACACCGUAGUGAGAGCUGCCCCCAUCUGAGUUCCUGCAAGUAGCUGAGGCCACAUGGCUGGUGCUGAACGUGUCGUCUCACAGCGGUGCGGCAGUGCAGGCUGCUGGGGUCACCAAGAUCGCCCGUUCGGUCAUCGCGCCACUGGCCGAGCACCACGUGUCUGUGCUGAUGCUGUCCACUUACCAGACGGACUUCAUCCUGGUGCGGGAGCAGGACCUGUCCGUGGUGAUCCACACGCUGGCCCAGGAGUUCGACAUUUACCGCGAGGUGGGCGGAGAGCCUGUGCCUGUG
rnacentral:lncRNA from 10 species